rnacentral:ncRNA from 1 species
CAGAGUAAAUCUGUGUGCGUUAAGUGUCAUACGAACGGGGAGUUGUCGUAUGAACGAAAAGUAUUACUUGCGGUACACAGAUUGCAUCCCGCUG